GAUUUCUGGUCUGGUGCGCCUGGCCCGCCGCAUCAGCGUGUGAGUGCCGGGUCGCGCCUGCCAUCCUUCUAGAAAACGUAUCUACCCUUCACUGGGCCGGAUACGGGAUCUAGAUCUUUUACUUUGAAAAAAUUAGAGUGUUUAAAGCAGGCUUUUGCUAUGAAUACAUUAGCAUGGAAUAAUAAUUUAGGACUUUGGCCCUAUUUUGUUGGUUUCUAGGACUGAAGUAAUGAUUGAUAGGGAUAGUUGGGGGUGCUCGAAUUCAGCGGCCAGAGGUGAAAUUCUUGGAUUCGCUGAAGACGAACUCAUGCGAAAGCAUU
rnacentral:rRNA from 1 species